UAAAAACUUUGGCAGCCACACCCUCAUUUGACCAUUCCUCUGUGUAUCUGUGCUUCUGUGAAACAGCUUGCCAUGGUGAUGCCCACUGUUCUCAACUCCCUAACUUUUUUAUGUGUGCUUGCAGUUCUUGCUGCAGGUCGGGCUGAAGGGCGGCAUCAUGACUCUGAUUGUCCUUCUUUCUCGUGCGGCCCUCUUGGAAAUGUAUUGUCCCCAUUUCGUCAGGCAAGUGAUCCGCCUGGCUGCGGCUAUCGAUCUUACGAGCUGGUUUGCAGUGAUACCAAGGCUAUGAUUCACAUCGGUGAUGCAACAUACUAUGUGUCUGCCAUCAACUACAGUGGUUCUUCCUUCUGGGUCAUCGAUGCCAACAUGGAUUUACACAACAACUGCCCUCUACCUCGGUGGAAUCCUCCAUACCAACCCGACAACAUGGAAAUCGAAUUGAGCCCCCUUGUACAUAGUGGGGCUUGCUUUGUAAAAUGCUCUCAGGAAGUAAAGGGCACUGGUACGUACAUGCCUGUUGCUUGCCUAAGCACCAACGAUUCUUUUGUUUACGUGUUAACUGGCUAUGGGUCUACAUAUAUGGAGUACCUUGAACCUUCUUGUGGGUACUUGGCCCGGACUCCUCGACCCUGGGACGGUCUGGGGCUAGAAAAUGCAAGUUAUGCAGAUGUUGUAAAAUCCAUGAGGAUUGGAUUUGCUGUUCGGUUUCCUUAUCCUAGGGAGAGCAUCAAGCAAUGCCUAAUACAGACUUUUUGGCCCUUCUAUGAGGUACCAGUCUUGAGUAAAGAAGGCAUCAAGUUACGUAUUCUAUUCAGUCUUGUGGGUGAUUCAUUUUUCUCGCGGUGCGCACUAGUUGAUGUCAUUGGAUUUCCACCAUUUCGAGGUGUAGUCAUAAUAAUCGUCUUCUGGAUUUGGAAGUGGCUGGCUGUGUUGUGCAGGUUCGUGUUGGCGCCGCUUGUUGUGUUGAUUUUCCUAGCCUACAAGUACUGGAAAACAAGAAUAACAAUCGAUGCAGUCGAGAAGUUCCUCCGUAUGCAGCAAAUGCUCGGUCCGACGAGGUACGCCUACACCGACAUCACUGCAAUCACAAGCCAUUUCAGAGAUAAGCUGGGUCAGGGAGGCUAUGGCUCCGUGUUCAAGGGUGUGUUAUCACCAGGCAAUGUCCAUGUCGCGGUCAAGAUGCUGGAGCGUAGCUCAAACUGCGAUGGAGAGGAUUUCAUCAGUGAAGUUGCCACCAUUGGCAGGAUCCACCACGUCAAUGUGGUGCGUCUCAUGGGGUUCUGCUCGGAGGAGAUGAGGAGGGCUCUUGUCUAUGAGUACAUGGCUCGAGGUUCUCUUGACAAGUACAUCUUCUCAGCUAAAAGUUUCUCCUGGGACAAGCUCAUAGAGAUUGCUUUGGGCAUUGCCAGGGGGAUCGACUACCUUCAUCAAGGGUGUGAGAUGCAGAUUCUACAUUUUGACAUCAAGCCACACAACAUCCUGCUUGAUAGCAAUUUUGUCCCAAAACUUGCUGAUUUUGGUCUCGCCAAGCUGUACCCAAGAAACAACAGUUUCGUAUCAUUGAGCGUCCUGCGCGGAACAAUUGGGUACAUAGCUCCUGAGAUGAUAUCUAGGAGCUUUGGCGUCAUAUCGAGCAAGUCUGAUGUUUACAGCUUUGGGAUGCUGCUGCUGGAGAUGGCCAGUGGAAGAAGGAAUGCCGACCCAAAUGUGGCGAAUUCAAGCCAGUCUUACUACCCGUCAUGGGUGUAUGACAGACUAACUGAACAAGAGGGGCGUGAUAUAUCUCCCAUUGACAACAUGCAUGAGUUGGAGAAGAAGCUGUGCAUGGUCGGACUAUGGUGCAUCCAGAUGAAGUCCCAUGACCGUCCAACGAUGAGUGAGGUUAUAGACAUGUUGGAAGGCGGUGCCGAUACCUUGCAGAUGCCUUCCAGGCCAUUCUUCUGUGACGAGGGGCUCGUCCAUACCAAUGAUACUUAUCAUUUGUCCUCCGAGUUGACCGAAAUCUCUGAGGAGGAUAUGAGUGAAAAUAUCGAUGUGUGAUGAGGUUGUUGCACUUUGCUUGCAAAAGGCUGAAGUUAUGGUUGUAUUAAAAUAAUUGUUUUCGCCUCAUGUGAACUUUUAUGCGGAAGCAUGUAAUAGGCAGGGAGCAGCUAGAGGAUGGAGGUGUGUUCCUUCCAACUGCAGCAUCCAUGAUAGUAAGUUAGACUAGAGGUUCCAUGGUGGCUUGAAGAAGAGAAGAGGUGAUACAAAUAAAGUGGUGAUCUACCGAUGAUAGGUGUGUAUCUGGUCCUGGAGGAAUUCAGUUGGCCAGACCUCGGAAAUGUGUGAAUGCUACUCUCUCAGCCGUCGUGUUGUUACAAUUAUGAGUGUGACUGGAGACUCGCGGCGGUCCAGUCUCGGAUCAUCAUCGGUAAAUGGCUGCGAGGAAUUGAAGAUGAGACGAGCCCUUUCACUCCUAUCAACCACUACAAAGUAAGUGGACAGCAGCAGCAACCUCCUCAGUCUCAGCUGCAUUAUCUUCAUUUGAUUUCAGCCCCAUUGUAAAAAUGCUGAAACAAAAACUUAA